UCGAGGAUCUUCGGCAAUGGGCGCAAGCCUGACCGAGCGACGCCGCGUGCGGGAUGAAGGCCUUCGGGUUGUAAACCGCUGUCAGUGGGGAGAAAUGGUACGUGGGUACUCCCACGUAUUUGAUCUAUCCGCAGAGGAAGUGUGGGCUAAGUUCGUGCCAGCAGCCGCGGUAAGACGAACCACACAAACGUUAUUCGGAAUUACUGGGCUUAAAGGGUGCGUAGGCUGCGCAGCAAGUUGGGUGUGAAAUCCCUCGGCUCAACCGAGGAACUGCGCCCAAAACUGCUGUGCUCGAGGGAGACAGAGGUGAGCGGAACUUAGGGUGGAGCGGUGAAAUGCGUUGAUAUCCUAAGGAACACCCGUGGCGAAAGCGGCUCACUGGGUCUCUUCUGACGCUGAGGCACGAAAGCUAGGGUAGCGAACGGGAUUAGAUACCCCGGUAGUCC
rnacentral:rRNA from 1 species